CCAGACUCCUACGGGAGGCAGCAGUGGGGAAUAUUGCACAAUGGGGGAAACCCUGAUGCAGCGACGCCGCGUGAGUGAAGAAGUAUUUCGGUAUGUAAAGCUCUAUCAGCAGGGAAGAAAAUGACGGUACCUGACUAAGAAGCCCCGGCUAACUACGUGCCAGCAGCCGCGGUAAUACGUAGGGGGCAAGCGUUAUCCGGAUUUACUGGGUGUAAAGGGAGCGUAGACGGCAUGGCAAGUCAGAUGUGAAAGCCCGGGGCUCAACCCCGGGACUGUAUUUGAAACUGUCAGGCUGGAGUGCAGGAGAGGUAAGUGGAAUUCCUAGUGUAGCGGUGAAAUGCGUAGAUAUUAGGAGGAACACCAGUGGCGAAGGCGGCUUGCUGGACGGUAACUGACGUUGAGGCUCGAAAGCGUGGGGAGCAAACAGGAUUAGAUACCCCAGUAAAC
rnacentral:rRNA from 1 species